ensembl:misc_RNA Metazoa_SRP Metazoan signal recognition particle RNA
GCUGGGCACAGUGGCACAUGCCUGUACUCCCAGCUACUUGGGAGGCUGAGGUGCGAGGAUCGCUAUGCCAGUCAGGUGUCCGCACUAAGUUUGGCAUCAAUAUGGUGACUUCCUGGGAGCGGGGGGACCACCAGGUUGCCUAAGGAGGGGUGAACUGGCCCAGGUUGGACUCCUGUGCCAAUCAGUAGUGGGACUGCGCCUGUGAAUAGCCACGGCACUCCAGCCUGGGCAACAUAGCAAGACCCCGUCUCUU